CGGGGUGCACCAGGCGCGAAAACUUUACAAUGCCGGCAACGGCGAUAAGGGAACCUCGAGUGCCAGGUUACAAAUCUGGCUGUCGUGAUGCCUAAAAAGCAUUGCAUAGCAAGGGCCGGGCAAGACCGGUGCCAGCCGCCGCGGUAACACCGGCGGCUCGAGUGGUAACCGUUAUUAUUGGGUCUAAAGGGUCUGUAGCCGGCCGGAUAAGUCUCUUGGGAAAUCUGGCAGCUUAACUGUCAGGCUUUCAGGAGAUACUGUCUGGCUCGAGGCCGGGAGAGGUGAGAGGUACUUCAGGGGUAGGGGUGAAAUCUUGUAAUCCUUGAAGGACCACCAGUGGCGAAGGCGUCUCACCAGAACGGACCUGACGGCAAGGGACGAAAGCUAGGGGCACGAACCGGAUUAGAUACCCGGGUAGUCCUAGCCGUAAACGAUACUCGCUAGGUGUCGGCCACGGUGCGACCGUGGUCGGUGCCGUAGGGAAGCCGUGAAGCGAGCCACCUGGGAAGUACGGCCGCAAGGCUGAAACUUAAAGGAAUUGGCGGGGGAGCACAAGGGCGAUUCGCG
rnacentral:rRNA from 1 species